rnacentral:sRNA from 1 species
UUUGCACUCAUCGGGGAAGGGUGAGAACCUUCGACUAAGGUUCGACUCGAGCGAAAGCGAGAGAACGUUUUCACAGGCAACGGCCCGAAGGGUGAGGAGCGAAGCGAUGAAUAAUCCUUUCCCCACCGCCA